CGAGAAAGGGAGGAAUCGAACCCCCAUAAAUCGGUUUCAAGCCGAUCACAUAACCGCUCUGCCACUUUCUU
rnacentral:tRNA from 1 species